rnacentral:tRNA from 1 species
GCCGGGGUGCCCGAGCGGUCGAAGGGGCGGGGCUGCAGACCCCGUUAAUCCCGGGUUCGAAUCCCGGCCCCGGCUCCA